UACGUAGGGUGCAAGCGUUGUCCGGAAUUAUUGGGCGUAAAGAGCUCGUAGGCGGUCUGUCGCGUCGAAUGUGAAAAUCCGGGGCUCAACCCCGGACCUGCAUUCGAUACGGGCAGACUUGAGUUCGGUAGGGGAGACUGGAAUUCCUGGUGUAGCGGUGAAAUGCGCAGAUAUCAGGAGGAACACCGGUGGCGAAGGCGGGUCUCUGGGCCGAUACUGACGCUGAGGAGCGAAAGCGUGGGGAGCGAACAGG
rnacentral:rRNA from 1 species